CAAGUACCCCCUCCGUCCGGAAUUACUUGUCAUCAAAAUGGAUGUGUCUAGAACUAAAAUACAUCUAGAUACAUCCAUUUCAAUGACUAGUAUUUUCGGACGGAGGGAGUACAAG
rnacentral:pre_miRNA from 1 species